CGUGCUUUCGGCGUAAAGCAGCAGUAAAUGCUGGCACACUGCGACGGACUGAUCAGCAAGCGAGUAGAUCAUAUGACAGCUACAGCGCGGCAGUUUCUGUUUUAUUCCGGCGUUGCGGAGAGAGGUGCUCGAGUUAUCUCCACCAGUGAGAGUAUAGCGCCUCCGGUCCUGGGGGUUUGAUCGCUGCCUUCACCUCCCCGUGGCAACUCGCCCAACCUUAAUUGGAGAAUCAAGACGCCUGCCUAGCCGCUGUUGUGAGGGCUCCUCCUCGGUGGAGCCUGCUGUCUUGUCUUGUUUUGUUUUCGUGAAACUGUUUUUAUUAAGUAGGCCUACCUUUUUCUGGUUCGCCUGGUUUUAUUCUAUUUUAUUCUGGACUGUUGCUUGUACCCUAUGGAGGACCACA